AUAUUUAUAUAUAUAUAUAUAUAUAUAUAUAUAUUUAUAUAUAUAUAUUUAUAUAUAUAUAAAUAAAUAAAAUGAGGGGCAACUACUGACUGUAGUUGCCCCCGUUUUAAUCUCUCACACACACCUCAGUUUACCCUGGCUCGUACCGGUAAUCCCUUUCUCCAUGCUUCCUUCCGACAGACCCAUACUAAGCCUAUUUAGGCUUUUGGUAUAGUUGAAAGACGUACAGGAAGGCUCAUCUCGGGAUCCCGGCUUAUCGCCUUGCAAGUCCAAACUUUCUGCGCUUCUAACAGUUGUGGGAGUGUAUCAAUACCAUCAAAUGUUCAUCUGAAAAUGUAGUUUGUCAUUCUUAAACAGUGGCAGAACUUGUAAAAUGUGUUUCGUACGACCUGGCUGUCGCCUGCAUUACUACCUUUUUAAAAUGUCUUCCAUUGCCAAAAUACUCGUCUUUCAUGAUGUUAACAUACAUUAUGCUUUAUUUGAAUAUCUCCACACACUAGCACGUAUAGCACUAUAUUGUUUGAUUUUGUGUCGGCCAGGCACAGUUUUGUUGAGAAUUUUGACUUUGGGGUUCUUAUCUCAACUAUUUUACGCCCAUAUUGUUAGCACGGAUUGUGCUUUUAGAUGGAUAUUUUAUUAAAGGGGCAAUCAGUAGUUGCUACAUCCAUUUUUGGACUUAUCAUUCAUUUAGAAGUACCCAUUGAUUCAUGAAGAAUAUAAAUUGAUGCCUCAUGAGUUUAAACUGUUAUACCCCAUCAGAAUGCAAAAUACACUGUGUACAAAACAUUAGGAACACCUUCCUAAUAUUGAGUUGCACCAUCUUUUGCCCUCACAACAGCCUCAGUUCAGUGUGGCAUGGACUGUACAAGGUGUCAAGCAUUCCACAGGGAUGCUGGCCUUUUUUGACUCAUGCUUCCCACAGUUGUGUCAAGUAGGCUGGAUGUCCUUUGGCUGGUGGACCAUUUUUGAUACAUGGGAAACUGUUGAGCUGUGAAAAACCCAGCAGUGUUGCAGUUCUUGACAUUCUCAAACUGGGGCACCUACUACCAUACCCCGUACAAAGGCACUUAAAUCUUUUGUCUUGCCCAUUCACUCUCUGAAUGUCACACAAUCCAUAUCUCAAUUGUCUCGUGGCUUAAAAAUCCUUCCUUAACCCGUCUCCCCUUCAGCUACACUGAUUUUGAAGUGGAUUUAACAAGUGACAUCAAUAAGGGAUCAUAGCGUUCACCUGGUCGGUCUGUAAGCGCAGGUGCUCCUAAUGUUUUGUGCACUCUGACUAUAUACUGUAUAUGAGCUACUACAGAGGUUAAAGGAGGAGGCUCAUGGACGUGACUGGAUUACUACGUUUUGUUUUCAAGGGCCUUGACAGUGAGUUGUAUAUUUGCUGUGAUGGGUUUUCUUUUUCUUUUUUUCAACACUUCAGCUUCCGUUAUCUUCUGUCAUUGAUACAGAAGUGUGUUUAUAAUUACAGUUGGAUACUGUAUUGGUGUGGUGGUAAUUGUCUUCAUUGGCUGAAAGUUGGUUUGUGUGACAAGAUUGGGUACACACAACCGGGGUCAACAACUCAAACGUCUUUGCUGCUUCUGAUGAGCUUGAUAUGGGGAAAGAGCUUGUUGCCUGAAAUAUAAUCCUACCAGACUCAGAUGUGUCAUCUUUGGUGAAAUCUGCGUCCCAAAUGGCACCCUAUUGCCUAAGUGCACUACUUUUGACCACAGGCCCUGGUCUAACAGUACUAUAUAUAUUAUGGAAAAGGGUGGAUUUGGGACACGCAUCAUAAGUGCCCUAUUCAGAACAGGACCCAUUACAAAGAGAAACCUCAUCAGUUGAAAAUAACCAAGCACCAGUGUACAUUACAACCAGGUGUGUGGGGGGAGGGGCUCAAACUUUUCUAUGAACAGUAUUUCCUUUGUAUUUCAAUGUAAGAUAUUUUUGAAGAGAUUAAAUGAAAUGGAUCAAUACAUGCUGUAAUAAGUGUCAUUCAUUGUUGAAUUAUAAAUAAAACCAACAAAAAUAAACUAUUAGCAAAGUCUUCUUGCAUGUAAAAAAAAAAAAAAAGUCAGGUUAGAUUACAUAGUGAAUAUUUUAGUGAGAAUCAAC
ensembl:lncRNA